AGAGUAAAUCGUACAAUCGCAGGCUGAAAGGCGUGAGGAAAGUCCGGGCUCCAAAGGGCAUAGGUGCCGGCUAACGACCGGUGAGGGUGACCUCAAGGAUAGUGCAACAGAAAUAUACCGCCUUUUAUAAGGUAAGGAUGGAAAGGUGAGGUAAGAGCUCACCAGCAAUUAGGUAACUAAUUGGCUAUGUAAACCCCACCUGGAGCAAGACCAAAAUAGGAUUUAGAGUGGCUGCCCGUCACAAUCCGGUAGGUAGGUUGCUAGAGCUUAUUGGUAACAAUAAGCGUAGAAAGAUGAUUGUUUAGUACAGAACCCGGCUUAUGGACUUACUCUACUA
rnacentral:RNase_P_RNA from 1 species